ACCUGAAAUUUCGACGAUUUAACGGUUUUGACGUG
rnacentral:sRNA from 1 species